rnacentral:RNase_P_RNA from 1 species
UCAGAUGACCGGAUGGCCGCGUCCUGCUUUCACGGCAGGCCGAGGAAAGUCCGGGCUCCACGGAACGAGGACGCCGGGUAACGCCCGGCUGGUGCGAACCAAGGGAUAGCGCCACAGAGAGCAGACCGCCUCCCAAAAGGAGGUAAGGGUGAAAGGGUGCGGUAAGAGCGCACCGCCGGGCCGGCAACGGUCCGGGCAUGGCAAGCCCCGUCCGGAGCAAGACCGAAUAGGGACAGCAUGGUUACUAACCAGGCCCGUUCCGGCCCCGCUGUCCGGGUUGGUUGCUGGAGGCGUCGCGCAAGCGCCGCCCGAGAGGAAUGGUCAUCGCCUGCCGAUCCGUCGGCGGGAUACAGAACCCGGCUUACAGGUCAUCUGACGCC